rnacentral:rRNA from 1 species
AUUGAACGCUGGCGGCAGGCCUAACACAUGCAAGUCGAGCGGCAGCGGGUCCUUCGGGAUGCCGGCGAGCGGCGGACGGGUGAGUAAUGCCUAGGAAUCUGCCUGGUAGUGGGGGAUAACGUUCGGAAACGGACGCUAAUACCGCAUACUUCCUACGGGAGAAAGUGGGGGAUCUUCGGACCUCACGCUAUCAGAUGAGCCUAGGUCGGAUUAGCUAGUUGGUGGGGUAAAGGCUCACCAAGGCGACGAUCCGUAACUGGUCUGAGAGGAUGAUCAGUCACACUGGAACUGAGACACGGUCCAGACUCCUACGGGAGGCAGCAGUGGGGAAUAUUGGACAAUGGGCGGAAGCCUGAUCCAGCCAUGCCGCGUGUGUGAAGAAGGUCUUCGGAUUGUAAAGCACUUUAAGUUGGGAGGAAGGGCAGCUAGUUAAUACCUGGUUGUUUUGACGUUACCAACAGAAUAAGCACCGGCUAACUUCGUGCCAGCAGCCGCCGUAAUAC